rnacentral:rRNA from 1 species
AUUGAACGCUGGCGGCAGGCUUAACACAUGCAAGUCGAGCGGAGAGAGGUAGCUUGCUACUGAUCUUAGCGGCGGACGGGUGAGUAAUGCUUAGGAAUCUGCCUAUUAGUGGGGGACAACAUUUCGAAAGGAAUGCUAAUACCGCAUACGUCCUACGGGAGAAAGCAGGGGAUCUUCGGACCUUGCGCUAAUAGAUGAGCCUAAGUCGGAUUAGCUAGUUGGUGGGGUAAAGGCCUACCAAGGCGACGAUCUGUAGCGGGUCUGAGAGGAUGAUCCGACACACUGGGACUGAGACACGGCCCAGACUCCUACGGGAGGCAGCAGUGGGGAAUGUUGGACAAUGGGCGCAAGCCUGAUCCAGCCAUGACGCGUGUGUGAAGAAGGCCUUAUGGUUGUAAAGCACUUUAAGCGAGGAGGAGGCUACUUUAGAUAAUACCUGGAGAUAGUGGACGUUACUCGCAGAAUAAGCACCGGCUAACUCUGUGCCAGCCGCCGCUGUAACAC